rnacentral:lncRNA from 1 species
AUGUCCAAAACAAAUGGGAGGAGCUACCUUCCCAAGUGGCAAAUCACAAGGUGUGAUCAGGCCCCUGCUCUGUGCAUGCCCAAAGUUACAAAAUCACAAAGUACAAUCAAAGUGAAACCAAAGUUGAUGACUUGGGGUUUCCUGGGAGUUUCUCACCAGGGAAAGAGCAAAGGAAAAGAGAUAGAUGGAACAACAGCAGCAACCCUCCUUCUUUUGUCCUCUCUCUUGGGUUUCAGUGAUUCACAACUGGCAGGCGCCACAAUAAUUAAAGAGAAUGUGAGCUGACGAUGGACUGAAACCUCUACAAACUGCUCCUAUGGCAGAGAAGCUCAUCUGGUCCCAGCAUCUGGAAAGAAUCUGCCCACCUCCAUGCCAGGCUCCUAGGGCAGAGAAGGUGAGCCAGUCCCAGCACCUAGAAGGAAGCUCCCCGCCUCCUUCCCAGGUUCCUAGGGCAGAGAACCUGAGCUGGUCCCAGCACCCAGAAGGAAGCUCCCCACCUCCAUGACAGGCUCCUAGGGCAGAGAAGGUGAGCCAGUCCCAAUACCCAGAAGGAAGGUCCCUGACUCCAUCCCAGGCUCCGAGGGCAGAGAAGCUCAGCCAGUCCCAGCACCUGGAAGGAAGCUCCCUGCCUCCAUCCCAAGCUCCUAAGGCAGAGAAGGUGAGCUGGUCCCAGCCCCCAGAAGGAAGCUCCCUGCCUCCAUCCCAGGCUCCUAGGGCAGAGAAGCUCAGCCUGUCCCAGCACCCAGAAGGAAGCUACCUGCCUCCAUGCCAAGCUCCUAGGGCAGAGAAGGUGAGCCACAUGGGCACCAGAAGCACCCCCACCCAGUGGAAAUGAGAAGACACAUAAACAAGCCUCAAAAACAGACUUCCAGAUCACCUACAGCAACCCCAAAGGGAAACGAGAUGGAAAAAAAGUAAAAAAUUGGGGAAGAGCCUCCCCUGC